rnacentral:piRNA from 1 species
UCCNGAGUGAGUAAGAUGUACAGAAAUGUGC